rnacentral:lncRNA from 10 species
CAUCACCCUCCUGCCAGGGGUUGAAGUCAGGAAGUAGUUUAUUUUCGCUGAAACUGAAGGGGGAAGUUAAAGAGAAAAAUAGCUGCAACUUGGUCAAUUCAGGAAAACCAGGUACGAAAAAAGAGGAGCAAGUUAAAGGGAAAGCCAGCUCGGAUUUGCUCACCAGUAAAAGGCAAAAAUCCCAGUGUUAUUCAUCUGCAUUUGGUGUGAAAGACAAAAGCUCAACUGGGAUCUGAGGCUUUCUGUGUCAGAGGGCAAGGAGUCAAUGGGGUUAUGAGGAAGUAAGACCACUUGAGACAUCAAAGAAAAGUAGAUCAAAUCACUAGACUCCUCCAAACAGGAGUGGGUGAAGACAAAAAGUGGAGAGAAUCCAGAGGGAAGAGAGGAGUAGGGAAAAUGGUGGAAAGGGAAGGUUUUUGAGAUGGAAGGCAGAGAAUGGGAACAAAAGAAGAAAAAGCUGUUUGUUUCAAAUCAAUAUUCUCCAAGAGGAUGUCUUGUUUCCCCAGGGAUAUUCUGAGGGACUCACAGGAUCAGAGCUGCGACACUUCUAACAUAUGAAUUCUCUCAAUUCUGAUGCCCUUUGACCUCUGCCACACAAUGCCAAGACAAACCCAGACCCCAGGCCCUGGAAACAGAGGAGGGGCAGUAUCAAUGUGAGGAUUAAAUGGGAUGAAAAAUAAAACAUCUGUCGGAGUGCCUGGAAUAUGGUACACAAAUAUCCAAGAUUGGAAAGAAGAAAGAAAAUGACGACAGAAUUUUGCAGUCUACAAGGCAAACACUGCCAUUCAUGUAGUUAUGGAGUUCCUACUAUGUGCAGACAAUGGGAAACUUUACGAAGGUGAGCAGACAGGGAUCUCACACUCCUACUAUGUGUAGAGCAAUGGGAAAUGUGUGGCAAUAAGGUAAAGGUCUUUUAUUUCAAAAUAUUUUAGCAUAGAAGGAGAAAUGUCUACUUGAACAAUGAACAAAAUACCUUAUCGAAACAAGUCUGUAGAAAUCUGUUUAAUUAGAAAAGCAUAAAAGUUAUUACUCUUAGCUGAGUGGUAACUGAUUUGAUUCAAGUUGUCUAAAAUUUUCAUUGCAG